rnacentral:rRNA from 1 species
GCAUAUCAAUAAGCGGAGGAAAAGAAACCAACAGGGAUUGCCCUAGUAACGGCGAGUGAAGCGGCAACAGCUCAAAUUUGAAAUCUGGCCCAAGCCCGAGUUGUAAUUUGUAUAGGAUGCUUCAGGGCAGCGGCCGGUCUAAGUUCCUUGGAACGGGACGUCAUAGAGGGUGAGAAUCCCGUAUGCGACCGGUUGGCACCCGUCACGUAUCUCCUUCGACGAGUCGAGUUGUUUGGGAAUGCAGCUCUAAAUGGGAGGUAAAUUUCUUCUAAAGCUAAAUACCGGCCAGAGACCGAUAGCGCACAAGUAGAGUGAUCGAAAGAUGAAAAGCACUUUGGAAAGAGAGUUAAAAAGCACGUGAAAUUGUUGAAAGGGAAGCGCAUGCAACCAGACUUGUCGGCGGUGUUCCGCCGGUCUUUUGACCGGUCUAUUCGCCGCCGGCAGGCCAGCAUCAUCUGGGCGCGCCGGAUAAAGGCGUGGGGAAUGUAGCUCCUCGGAGUGUUAUAGCCCUGCGCACAAUACGGCGUCGCCCGGGUGAGGUCCGCGCUUCGGCUAGGAUGCUGGCGUAAUGGUUGUCUGCGGCCCGUCUUGAAACACGGACCAAGGAGUCUAACAUCUAUGCGAGUGUUCGGGUGUCAAACCCCUACGCGUAAUGAAAGUGAACGGAGGUGGGAAGCGCAAGCUGCACCAUCGACCGAUCCUGAUGUCUUCGGAUGGAUUUGAGUAAGAGCAUAGCUGUUGGGACCCGAAAGAUGGUGAACUAUGCCUGAAUAGGGUGAAGCCAGAGGAAACUCUGGUGGAGGCUCGCAGCGGUUCUGACGUGCAAAUCGAUCGUCAAAUUUGGGUAUGGGGGCUAAAGACUAAUCGAACCAUCUAUUAUCUGG